UCGGGAAUUUUGGGCAAUGGGCGAAAGCCUGACCCAGCAACGCCGCGUGAGGGAUGAAGUAUUUCGGUAUGUAAACCCCGAAAGAAUGGGAAGAAUAAAUGACGGUACCAUUUAUAAGCUCCGGCUAACUACGUGCCAGCAGCCGCGGUAAUACGUAGGGAGCAAGCGUUGUUCGGAUUUACUGGGCGUAAAGGGCGCGUAGGCGGCGCGGUAAGUCACUUGUGAAAUCUCUGAGCUUAACUCAGAACGGCCAAGUGAUACUGCUGUGCUAGAGUGCUGAAGAGGCAACCGGAAUUCUUGGUGUAGCUGUGAAAUGCGUAGAUAUCAAGAGGAACACCUGAGGCGAAGGCGGGUUGCUGGGCCGACACUGACGCUGAUGCGCGAAAGCCAGGGGAGCAAACG
rnacentral:rRNA from 1 species